AUUUAUUUUAUUAAUAAAGUCAUGAAUUUGAUUCUGGUUUUUAUAGAUAUGAUUAGGAUGAGUUUUACAUGUGAAUUUUAGUGGGGUGUGAUUUUAUUCUUAAUGAUUAAUCUGAUAUUUUAUAUUCGCAGUUUUUAUUUUUAUUAUAAUUUUAUUUAUAUAAGAUUUAGUUUAUUUUAUAAAUUUAAUUAGCCAGCAAAGGUUGUGCCAGCGGCUGCGGUUAUACAUCCGGCUAUUUAUCUUUUUUGAUUAUUAUUUAUUAAUUUAAUUUUUAAUAUUAUUUUUUAUUAUUCUUGGGUGAAAUUUGAUUAAUGAAAUAUUUUAUAUUGAGUAUUAGAGUAUAAGAAACUUUUAUUAUAAACUAGGAUUAGAUACCCUAUUAUUUAAGUGUAAUUUAUUUUAUCUUAGUAUUAUUAGUUAUGAUCUUUAAAAUUAAAAGAAUUUGACGGUAAUUUAGUCUUUUCAGAGGAACCUGUCCCUUAAUUGAUAUUCCACAAUAAAUUUUACCUUAAUUUUUAUAGCUUGUAUAUCUCUGUUUAUAUGAGUGUUUUAUUAGAAUAAUUCUCUUUUAUUUUUAAUUAAUUAUAUAUCAGGUCAAGGUGCAGCUAUAUUAAGGUGGAGAUGGGUUACAUUUAUAAUGUAAUUUUGGAUUUGAUCAUGAAUGUUGAUUAAUGAAAUUGGAUUUGAUUGUAAUUUUUAUUAUAUUUUAUUUAUGAUAUAUGCUCUGGAUUAAGUACACAUCGCCCGUCGCUCUCAUUAUUUAAAAUGAGAUAAGUCGUAACAAAGUAGACUUACUGGAAAGUGUGUCUGGUAAUAAA
rnacentral:ncRNA from 1 species